rnacentral:lncRNA from 1 species
AGAGUACAUGUCAGAUCAUUAAUUGUGAAUAUAGGUGUAAUAUAGUCAACUUGUUGUGAGAUAUAGCAGGCUUUGCUUGUAUCCAUUUUGGAAAACAAGUGGUGGACAUCCUGAAUGGGAUUUAGUCAUCUGAAUGUCUGUUUCUUGAGUCAUGGUACUAAAAAUUUGCAAUCAUUUGGUGGAAUACUGAAAUGCAUCUCUUACUGAAGAUCUUCAGUUGCCUAUGUAUUGGAGCCGUAGUCUGUUUUGCUCGAAGUAAACUAACUUGCUUUGUGUUCUUUUGGUACUUUGUACAGGCAAGGACAAGAUUAAGUGAUCUUUGCUUGCUGAUGAUUAUGGAAUUUCCAGACUGAUCCCAAACUGUGUAGUUGAUGUAUGUAAAGUGAGUAGAGUGACUGUCUUGUGACUGCUGAUUAAGAUAUUUGCUGCAUGAUCAGAUGUUUACAUCUGACUUACUAGGAUGAAUUGUUGAGGAGGUGUAUCUUCCUGAUCAGAUGGCCACAGCUAACUUAUUUGGUGGUUUAUCUAUUAUGCUGCUCUAGAUUAUCAGGCGUUAAAUCUUGUUCUAAUCUUUUGUCUACACGUAAUCUCCCACAAACAAAACUUGAUAACAUGAGAAUGGCCAAGGUCUACAUUUGUUCAGCACCCAUCACUCAGGAUGUCGUUCCUGAUGUAUUACAGGGAGAAAUGACCAGCGUUUCUCAGUCAUCCAGAGUCGUCCAAAGCCCAGCAGUUGUUGGCAUUAUGCCUUAAACAAGGGGGAGAGGUCGAACCUCUUAAACAGAAACAAAACAUGGAGUUGCAGCCCCUAUAGUAUCUGCUCUAAGCAAUUCCCUGUUUCCAUAAUUCCUAAUCUGACAUAUCAGAUUGUGGAAAGGUGAAUCCUGUCCUGCUCCUUGGAUUAGAUCCAGUGCUGCCUUCGAAUCCGUUUCCAGGAUCACUCUCCUUUCUCCUGAGCUCCACGCCAUUUCCAUCCCUUUUGAGUACUCCCCAUCGCUCUACUGUCGUAUUGUCUGUUAGCCCAAUAUUCACUGCGAAGCCAGCUUUCCAUCUUUCCCAGCAUUAUGCCUUUCGUUGGCAUAGUCUCUAACCAAAUUCUCAUAUUCAUCUCCUAUUUUCCCAGCAUUAUUGCGCUGAACUGAAUUCCCCAUGAGAAAGAAGUACCAGAUGAUUUCCGAUAAGUUCUCAAGUGUAUUUUGCAAAUGAGCUUCUUUAUCAAGACGCAAACAGCCUUGGUUGCCUGCCUAAACCGCCUCGCUGGAACGAGAUCAAUACAUUUUUUUUCGGAUCACUGCAUACCUUGACUAAGGCUAAUCACUAGUUGUAACUGCAUAAUCAUGAGUGUCGUGAAGAGGUUCGGCUUAAAGCAGCAAAAGAAGUGGGCCACAAUGAAAUGUUAAUUGGGUACUGCGCAGCAUUAAAAAUAUGAAAAAUCGUUCACCAUGUCAUUCACUCUUGAAAUGUUAAUCUUGUCAUUCACUCUUGAAAUGUUAAUCUUACGUCUCUUGUAGACUUAAAUUUGCAAAAUUUGGUCUCAACGUAAGUUGUAAACUAAUUUUUAAUAGAGUUAUUAUCACUUUACCCUCUUAAACUAUAUCACUACUAUCAGUUUACCCUAUAACGUUAUCUUUUAAUCAUUUUAUCCCCAUAAGUAAUUCAACUCAACGUGUUAAGAAAUUUUGGACAAAAAUACCCUUUUAUUUUAUGUUAUUACUACAUUAUUAUUAUCCCUUUCUUCGUUUGGAUUAUAGUGAUACAAUCGCUUUACUUCAUAACAUUAUUUUCUAGACAUUUUACCUUAUUAUUAAUCUAACUAGUAUGGUCAAAAAAUUUUAAAUAUAUUUACCCUUUUUUAUAUAUAAUUAAAAAUAAAAAAGAUUGGAAUGGUUAUUCUUCUUUUUUUCACUUUAAGAGAUCGAAAAAAUCUUUUUUUCAUACUUAUUACUACUAGGAAAAGAAAAAGAGAUAGGAAAGAAGGAGACAAAAAAUUAGAUUUUGCAAAAAAAAAGAAAAUAAAGAAAAGUCUAACAUUAUCGUAUUACUUUAAGGUUAUCGGGAUUAGAAUUGAAAUUUGGUGGUAAACAAAAAAGUGAAAUAAUUUUAAAAUAAUAAAAGUAUUUAAUUCUUUCUUAUUUGUAAUUUUUUUAAAAAAAAUUGAGCUCUCUCUCUCCCCCUCCCCCUCUCCAUAUUUCUAUUUUUUUCAAUAUUAAUAAGAUUGCCAAGAAAAAAAAUUAAUAUUUUGACUUUUUUUCUUGAUACUAAAAAGAAGAAGAGUCACUCUAAAUUUUUUAUUAUUUUGAUUAUGCAAAGAGGGGGGUAUUUUCUUCUAAAGUUUUUAACUUGCUAAGUUGGUUUAAUGGUGGGAUAAAUUGUCUAAAAAAUAAUUUUAGGUGGUAAAUUGAUAAUGAGACUAUAUUUUAUGGGGGUAAAGUGAUAAUAAUUUUAAGGGUUAAACAUGUUUUUUCACUUUAAUUAACAAACUCCGUUAAGUUUGAUCAUUAGUCUUGGGGGUAAAGUGACUAAAAGAUAACGUUAAGGGGGAAAUUGAUAGUAACACCAAACGUUAAGGGGGUAAAGUGAUAAUAACCUUUUUUAAUAUGAAAUCACCACACAAUCAACAUGUAGUCAUUUUCUUUUAUGUAUAAAUAGGUCAAAUUCAACUUUUUUAGUGUAAAAAAUGAAUAUGGAUUAGGUCAAAUUUCACUUUUUUUUUGGGAAAAAAAAUGAAUAUGAUUUGAGUCAGAUUCUACGUUUUAGGAACAAAAAUAAAGAUGGAUUGAAUCAUUUGUUUAACUAUAAAUGAGAUUUAACCUUUUUGUUUAAAAAAAAAAGAUCAUAUGUGAUCACUUGAUGGAUUAAGGAUAAAUUUUAUCGACUUAAUUUUGUAGGGGAUGCAAAGUUAGCAUUUAAAAGUGAAGAACGAAAAAAUUCGUUUGGUGAAAUGUGAAAAACAUUUUAAACGAUUUUUCCUUAAAAAUAAAAAUAAUCUGAAUUUGUAGUCCUUUCUUUUAUUUUUUUAUUUUUUGAAGAGAGAAUUUGAAAAUUUUCCGGUGGGCUUCUUUUCUUUCUCCUUAAAGUGUUUCAGUGUGAAUUUACCUUUUUCUUGAAGGGACAUAAUAUGUAUGUCACAAUAAAUAAAACUAGCCAGCUGAAUAUUUCUCAAGACUGUUAUGCUUUUCAUUUCAAGGGACAAUUGAUUAUUGAUCUAGGAAACAAGAAAAUCAAAAAGUAAUUGAGGAAUAUGCGAUAUUUUUCUAUAUCGUUUAGGAGGAAAUGUUGGGGUAGUCAAUUAAAAACCCUGAAAGAAUAAAAAACAAAACGAAAAAGUAAAAUCCGACUGGUACGUUACGACGUCGGAUUAUCCAUACAUUUCAUUUCCGUUCUCCCGUUGAACCCUACUAAAACCCUCUUCUGUGUCCAAUUUCAAGAAAUAGCCCCAAAAAGGGUUUAGAAGAAGGAAGUUGAAAAUGGCGAGCCGUCUCGUUCAUUUCCGACCGACGGCGAGACUCCGGUGGCUGUCUACAGCAACAGAAAUGGCAACGGCAACGGCAACGGCAACGGCAACGACAGCGACAACGGCUGUGACCCAAGAUACAGCAACGGCUGUGACCAAAGACAAGCCUAAUAUCUCUCUGUUCAGGAAACUGAAGGAGCUGAAUAUUGGACCAGGCUCAGACGCUAAUGUUUCAGUGGUUCUAGAUGAAUGGGCCAAUGAAAGUCAGGCUAAACGAUUCGAUGCUGCUAGACAAAUCAAUUUUCUCCGAUCCCGCAAACAUUACCAUCUAGCCCUCCAGGUAAUUUCUUGAAUUUGGUUAUUUUCUUCUUUCUUCUUCUUGUUUUUUUUUUGUUUUUUUAAAAAUUGUUUCUUUAGGCAUUCCUAGAUUUGUGGAUGAAUGAAUAUGCGACACGUGAGAUUUAUGCUUUAGAUGGUUUAUUGUGCUUGUGGAGUGUAUUUAUUCAAAUCAAGUUGCUGUAUUCUUAUUGGGUGCUAAAUUGUUGUAAUGUGGUGAAAUUUUCUUUGUAAUUGAUAUUAGUAUGCAUUCUAAUCUUUUGUUUCGAUUUGAAUAAAAAAAACUUUGAUUGUUUUAUUCCUUUUCGAAUGCUUAAUAUUCUUAGACAGAUAGCGAAUGUGAUUGUGGAAAAGAGCAUUACUUUAUCAUAGGAAGAAAAGUCAUUUGUUGGGUAUGCAAGAAGUGAUUGUUUAUUUGGGUAAUAUGGUCGGGUUGGAAACAGCAUAGAUGUGCCGUUUGUUAGCAUUGACAACUAUUUGUAAAACAGGGGAGGCAUAGAAUUUGGGUAGCAGAUGAUAUGUUUAUUGAACAUUAGAUGCUCAGUUUUUGUAGGAAGCUUUUUACCCUUAUGGAAACAAAAUCUGGGAUGUAUUCUUUUAAUAUGCUUGUUGAAAAUAGGUAAAGGAUCAAGCGUGGGUUGUAUAGGAAAUUGUACCUGUAUACCAACAAUGGGGAUUGAUGAGCAAGGAACAAGUUGAGUUGUAGAUUAAAUUGUAGUUAUCUAUCAACUUCAGGAAAUAUAUAGACUUUGCAUGGACAUCUGUUGAAUUAAUAAUAUCUUUUCCUUCCUUAGAUGGCAUUUUAUUUGCUUCGGUUUGUUCUCAAACUGGAUAGUUUGGUUUGGACUUUGUAAUUGUUUUCCUUAUCUUGUUACUAAUGCAGCUAUCAGAAUGGCUGGAGAGCAGCAAGAUUGAGAUGAACAAUGCUGACCGAGCUGUGCAGAUUGACCUUCUUGCAAAAGCUAAGGGUAUUGCUUCAGCUGAAGUUUAUUUUGAUGGUCUUCAGGGAUCUGCGAAAACAAACAAAACUUAUGGAGCACUUCUCAACUGUUAUUGUAAGGAGAAAAUGUUGGAUAAGGCUGUCCAACUCUUUGCCAAGAUGAAGGAGCUGAAUUUUACUUCCACUCUGAACUAUAACAAUGUGAUGUCUUUAUACUUGAGCAGUAACCAGCCCGAACAAGUCCCUCUGCUUGUGCAAGAAUUGGAGCAGAAUAAACUUAAAGCAGAUAAAUAUACGUGCAAUCUGUUGAUUAACAGCUAUGCUUCCUCAAAUGAUAUAAAUGCAGCGGAGAAAGUUCUUGAGAAGAUGAAGAAAGAUAAGGUAAAGUAUGAUUGGUUCACUUAUGGGAACCUAGCAACUAUUUACGUCAAUGCUGGACUUCUUCCCAAAGCCAAAGAAAUGAUAGGAGAGAUGGAGAAAUUUGAAAAUGUGCGUGAUCGUGAGUUUUUCCAUAUGCUAAUCAACUUGUAUGAGCUUAUGUCUGACUUGGCUGGGGUUAAUCAUGUGUGGAACUCCCUCAAGUCAGUUUUCCCCUCCCCCAGUAACACUAGCUAUCUCAUCAUGCUGUUGGCUCUGUUUAAAUUGGGUGACCUGGAAAACCUGGAGAAGUAUUUUAGAGAGUGGGAAUCUCAAUGCUCAUUGUACGAUGUCAGACUAUUCAAUGUGGUCUUGGAAUCUUAUCUUAAUAGGAACAUGAUUGGGGAAGCUAAUGCUCUCUAUGAAAGUAUGGUGACCAAAGGAAUCGAUCCCACCUUAGCGACACUGAAUAUUUUCACAAUCUACCACAUUAAGAAUGAUCAGAUUGAUUCAGCUCUGAAGUAUCUGGAGAUGGGUGCAUGCAAGACAAUCCCAGAGGAACAUAGGUGGUUUCCUACAGAUGAAACUGUCAAAUUGUUUUUAGAAUAUUUUGAGAAGAAAAAUGAUGCAACUAGAGCUGAGAAGUUUUGUAACAGCAUGAAGAAGAUUGGUCGUCUUGAUUCUGCCGUUUAUGCAUCUCUGCUUUCCAAAAGUUGAUGACUAGAUCACUGCAUCGAAGUAUAGAGGUGUUUCUGAUUUAAAUAUGGCAGUGAGAAGAGGCCUUGACAAUUUGAUAUUUUAUACUGGCCUAAUUUAAGUCUUGCAAGGAAAUCGAGUUAAUGUUCACAAAUGCUAUUGUGCGAAGCAAAGCUGGCCUGUACUGAAACCUAGACCUAAACUAUGGCGGUGUAAGACCCCCGCGUGCACGCCCGCCGGGGGGGGGGGGGAUCUAAACUGUGGUCGAACGCAGUUAUUAUCACAACGAGCAAUGUCGAUUCCCUUGUAUAUUUGUACGUAGGACAUUAGUUCUCCAUAUUCUGAUCAACUUGCCUUUUCACUUCAGCGUUCUUUUCUUGGUGUUCUGUUGUUUUUUGGUUUUUUUUUUUUCAGCAAUUGCCUCUGAUGUUGAAUCCCUGUACUAGAUAUGACAGCAUUCAUUGUUUAACCAUCCAAGCAAACGAACCAAAGAAGUUUCUUGGCUCGUUUGCGCAAUUUAAACUGGUGACGAUAAGAUGUUAGAACUGAUUAAUUAUCAUAAUGCUGUUGUAAGAAGGUUGUUGAUGAUUGAAGUGGCCAGCGUUAGGUUGAGGUUCCCGCACUGAGCAUCAGAUCUUGGGAAACAGUUAAGAGGUUCAAUCUUUCUUGUGUUUUAGUAUGAUAAUUUCUCAGGAGCAGCAGUUAAGUGCUUGAUUAAAGAAGAAAAUAAAGGAAUAAAGGUAUUUCAACAAACAAGAUCGCCGUGUUUGGACGCUAAUUCCUGGAUAAGUCUCUACCUCUCAACUUCUAUUCAACUAUUUCCUUCUAAUUUUUUUUUUUAUUUUGAGCAUCCGGGAUCCCUACUUUCAGUGAGACUAAUCCGUAUUCGACCCGAAAACACCCGCAGAGUUCGACUUAUUUUUUACCAUUCGGUAUCUCCAUAUUCAGUGAGACUAAUCUGCAUUCGGCCCAAGAAUACUCGCAGAGUUCAACUUUUACUCAGGAUAAAGCUCUGACUCAGAACUUUUCAAAAUAUCACAUACAGGAAUCGAAUUUAUGACUUUUUAUUGCCGUUAACAACUCGCUUACUAAUUGUCCCAAACUUACGGGUUAUUUCCUUUUAAAUUGUCUUAUCAAUCAAAGCCGGGAUGAGUUGUUGUGGCACGUCUGCUGAAACAGCAAAUACCACGUCACAGCGCAUCCUCCACUGGGAACCUUUGAGAAUAUGGGUCGACUUGAAUAUCACUCAUAAGUCCAAUUUCUUCAUAAACCAAGAAUUGAGUUUGAAUUCAAGAAUAUGAUUUGUUACGUGAGUCAAGCUCAAGCACAUCAAAACUCAACUUAUAAAAUCCAAUUGACAGACCUAUUUCACUUGAACAGAUAAAAUGCUCAAAUAAGAUAAGUAGAAUUCACUAACUUCAUUGACAGCAAUUCAUGAAGGACCCUUACAUGUCCAUUUGACUGUAUUACUUUUGUCAAAAGCCAACUAUUGAGCUUAGCAAGUAUUUCGUCCCAAGUACCUGUUUUAUACCCUGAUAAGGAUUUCCCACGAAAAUUACCCUCAAUGUGCACGAUCAGGAUGUCCUCCUAAGUCCUAGGUCUUAUCCGAUUUCAUAACCAGUGUGCAAAGCUAUUUAGGUCGGUUCUUGAACUUGUCUUAAUUGAAAUGCUUGAAACCCCAAAACUUUGGUAUAUCUACCACUUUGAGCAUAUGGAAUUCUUACAAUCUUAUAUUCAUCUGCUUGGCUGAGAUAACCAAAUCCAAGAGCCAAGAAACUACUAUGCCUAUUCGAAUGCUUUAUGUUAAUGCUUGAAGAGGAAAUGCACUUAUAUUUUCUAAUACAAUGAUUCCAUAAAUAUGGUUUGCCCAAUGUAGUAGAUGGUAUUUCUUUUUUAUUGGCAAAACUUUGGUUUUUAGCACAAAGGAAAUUGGAGGCUUUGACAGGGCUAGCUAUAAACCACAUAAAAUGUACCAGUUGGUUACUCUAGGGAAAGAGAUGAAUCUGAAAAGUUGGAGUUCAAGUUCACCAUGGUAAGGAAGCCAGAUCAAACCAGCCCCGUGCCUGAGUCACCUACUGAAGCAAGUAAAUCAUCAACAGUGGAAGAGAAGGCAUGGAACUAUAGCUGCUAUGCCUACGCCGCCAGAGAAGAUGAAGCUCAUUUCUUCUGGGAAUGCAAGGACUAAGAAGAAAUCACAGCAGUGCAUUAGCAAUUCAGUGUAUGGUGGUUGCAGGCUUGCAGCAGCAGCAGCUACAAGAGGGAAGCCUCGCAUCCCAAGCCCAAGGCAAAUGGUCCUCUUAGGAGCAAAGCUGAAGCCAUAACCUGGAGAUGCUUUUGGAUAAACCUGCUACUGGUAAUCAAAGCAUACCAUCCUUUUGGAUACACACAUGAGACGGAUCAAGCUUUCAGCUGGAAGCUACAACAGGACUGUAACAAUCACCUCGAAAGGAAGGUCUGGAAUUGUUUCGUGUUUCUUGGACUGGAAUCUAAAUAGUUCGCUUGGGUUUUUCAGAUUGUGAGGUGUUAUGAAAAUAGAGAAUUUUUGAACCCAUAGUUGGACCUAAAAAUUUGCUGCUUCUAUACACAAAAAAGAAGACACAAAACCCAUCCAAUUUUGAUACUUUGGAACUUUUUAUCGAUUGUGAACAAAAUGGCUGACCAGAAACGCCCUGUUUUUCCGAUAGAAAUCAUCACUCCGUUUUUUGAUCCAGCUACCUCCUAAGGUCUUGAUGAAGCUCAUGCACCUUUCAAGAUCACGGAAGAACUUGAUCAGAGACCCUAGUUCUCUACGGCAAAAUUUGAAAGAUUCUCAGCAAAAGGUAAUCGAUAUCUCUUGUAUUUGACUGCGGAGUUAUAACCCGUGGACUUUCAAGUUGAAUGAUGAUAGAUCAUUCCAAUAUUUGUUUAGAUUUAAGAAUGCCUAUUUUUUUGGUCCACUCCUCUUUUCCUUCCUCACUUCUUUAAUCUCACCUGUUUUCUAUCUUGACAAGGACUUCGCCCCAAAGUUACCCACAAUCUGCACGAUCAUAUUUACUUCUAUCCUUCUUCCUUCUUCUUAACCAGUGUCCAAAGAUAUUUAACUUAGUUCUUGAACUUGUUUAAAUUAACAUAUUUAAAUUAAAUCCUUGAAAUUCCUUCCAUGCAAGUUGAAAAGACAAUCGCUUUAACUUAGUUGAAACCUCAAUUGCAGACACUUUCAAGUCAAAAAAUGGACCAUCUUAUAUUUCCUAAGAGGUAAUUAGUGAAGCUAAAGCAGUCUCUUCCGUAAUAUACAGCAGAUUCUUGAAAGAACCUAGUAAUUACACCUAUACUCAGAGAGAAAUGGUAGUGGCAAUGUCGAAUCAUAUUGAGAAUUUCCAACGAUCUGUCAUAUAAAUGGAAAUAAAUAUUUGCUUUGAUAGGACCGGGCCAGGAAAUAGACAAACUCAAGUUAGCACAAAUUAGGCGGUAUAACCGACCAUAUAAUAGAUAGGCGGUAGAUACCAGCCAUAUAAUAAUUAGGCGGUAAAACCGACCAUAUAAAGACGGAUAACAAAGCAAAUAAAAGACACAAAAGAUUUACGUGGUUCGGUCAAAUUGACCUACGUCCACGGGCGAGAGAGGAGCAAUAUUUCUACUAUGAAGAAGAAAUACAAAAGCCGUAGGAAAGUGGUUCCUAGGCCAAUAGGCACUUACAAAAGAGUUUAGAAAAUAUUCCUAAAUUCAAAACAAGAGAGCCUAAAAUAUUUAACUGAAUGGGAUAGAUGACUCAAGAAGCUAAUGGCCCAUAUAACUCUCUUGAGUGGUGCGAUUGAAACCUUCAUAUGAGCCCCCUAUUUAUAGUUGUAUUUGGGAGGCUUUCCUUCUGCUUCAGGCGAUGUGGGAUGAGGAAAUUCUGCCACAGUCAAGGAUUGCGGCUGAAGAAUUGCGGCUCAACAAAUCUCCACCUUGGCAUAAUUUUGAGUCCCACCAUCGUCAAUAGUAAAUUCGCUCCACCUUCUCCACAUAAGACCCAAUGGGUCUAAAUCACAAAUAACGAACACCAACCAAGUCCAAGCACUGCUUGAACUUGUAAUUUGGAAGAGGCUUCGUAAACAUAUUGGCUGGAUUGUCCUUAGUAUUGAUUUUCUGAAUAAGGACUUUUCCCUCUGCAAUGAUAUCCCGAAUGAAGUGAUACUUCACAUCAAUAUGCUUCGUCCUCUCAUGAUACAUCUGAUCUUUAGUCAAGUGUAUGGCACUUUGACUAUCACAGUGAAUAUCAGUAACACCUUGAUAUAGACUUAACUCGCUAAAUAAACUCUUCAACCACAAGGCUUCUUUGAUUGCCUCGGUCACAGCCAUAUAUUCUGCUUCAGUAGUAGACAAAGCUACGACAGGUUGUAGAGUAGCUUUCCAACUAACAGCACAACUGCCAAUGCAAAAUACAUAGCCUGAAAGUGAUCUUCUCCUGUCAAGAUCCCCAGCGUAGUCUGAGUCUACAAAACCAACCAAAGUGUUAUUAUUUCUUCCAAACUCCAAACAUACAUUUGAAGUACCUCGCAAGUAUCUGAGAAUCCACUUCACAGCCUGCCAAUGUGUUUUACCAGGACAAGAUAUAUAUCUGCUAACAACACUGACUGCUUGUGCAAUAUCUGGACGAGUACAAACCAUUGCAUACAUAAUACUGCCGACUGCACUGGAAUAAGGAACCCGUGCCAUAUAAUCUUCCUCUUCAUCUGAUUUUGGUGAUUGAGCAGCAGAUAGCCGAAAAUGUCUAGCAAGAGGAGUAGAUACUGGUUUAGCAUCUUUCAUGCCAAAACGCUCCAAGACUUUCUCAAGGUAAUUUUUCUGGGUCAAAAAUAACUUCCCUACUCCUCGAUCUCGAUUGAUAUCCAUGCCAAGAAUUUUCUUAGCUGCUCCCAAAUCUUUCAUUUCAAAUUCACUAUUUAACUGCAGUUUCAAAGUGUGAAUUUCUGACAAAUUCUUGGCAGCAAUGAGCAUGUCAUCAACAUAAAGCAGCAAAUAAAUGAAAGAACCAUCAUUUAACUUCCGGAAGUAAACACAACUAUCAUACAUGCUCCUCAAAUAACCAUGACCCAACAUAAAGGAAUCAAACCUCUUAUACCAUUGUCUUGGAGACUGUUUCAAUCCAUAUAAGGAUUUCUUCAAUAAGCAAACAUGGUCUUCCUUACCUUCAAUUUCAAAACCCUGGGGUUGUCUCAUAUAAAUUUGUUCUUCAAGUUCGCCAUGUAAGAAAACUGUCUUAACGUCGAGUUGUUCUAACUCCAAAUUAUACAUGGCAACUAAAGCAAGCAAAACACGAAUAGAGCUAUGUUUAACAACAGGUGAGAAUAUAUCAUUAAAAUCAACACCUUGUACCUGACUAUAGCCCUUUGCAACCAAUCGUGCUUUAUAUCUUACAUCUUCAACCCCUGGAAUACCUUCUUUCUUCUUGAAAACCCAUUUGCAUCCAACAAUUUUCUUAGCUGACGGCGGCUUUACAAGAACCCAAGUUUCAUUACGAUGAAGAGAUUCAAUUUCUUCAUUCAUCGCAAUCAACCACUUUGCAGAGUCAUCACAAGAAACUGCUUCUGAAUAGGUGGAAGGCUCACCAACUGCAUCAGUUUCUUCUGCAACAGACAAAGCAUAUGCAACUAAAUUUACAUAUCUUUGUGGUGGUCGAAUGUCUCUCCUUGCUCUAUCUCUGGCUAUGGAAUACUCUUCUUCUUCAGAACUAUCUUCAACAGUAGAUUCAGGUGUAUCUACUGGCAUUUGAAUAGAAGAUUUGGAUUGAGAAGGACCAGAACUGCCAAUAUCAAGCUCCACCUGCUUCUGUGUACUAUCAGUAGUACAAGGACUAGAAGACUCCUUCUUGGAAGAUAACAGAGAUAAUUCAUCAAAAGUAACAUCUCUACUGAUUACAAAUUUUGGGGAUUUGGGAUCAGAAUACCAUAAUCUGUAUCCUUUCACCCCAGAAGCAUACCCAAGAAAAAUGCACUUUUUAGCCCUAAGCUCCAAUUUUCCAUCAUUCACGUGCAUGUAUGCUGGACACCCAAAAACUUUUAAAUUGGAGUAAUCAGCAGGAGUACCUGACCAAACUUCCUCAGGAGUUUUGAAAUCAAGAGAUGCAGAAGGAGAACGGUUGACAAUAUAACAGGCCAUAUUGAUCGCCUCUGCCCAAAAGUCGUUUGUCAACUCUGCAUUGGAGAUCAUACAUCUUGCUCUCUCCAAAAGAGUUCUGUUCAUACGUUCGGCCACACCAUUUUGUUGAGGCGUCAUCCUGACGGUGUGAUGCCGAACAAUUCCUUCAUUUUUGCAAAAUUCAUUAAAUUCACCUCCACAAAAUUCCAUGCCAUUAUCUGUUCUCAACCGCUUAACAUGUUUUCCUGUUUGUUUCUCAAUCAAAACUUUCCAUCGUUUGAAAGUUAGGAAAACAUCAUUUUUAUGCUUAAGAAAAUAGACCCAAACUUUCCUUGAAUAAUCAUCAAUGAAAGUCAACAUGUACCUGGCACCACCUUUAGAAUGAGCACGAGAAGGACCCCAUAGAUCUGAAUGAAUGUAAUCAAGAGUACCUUUUGUCUUGUGAAUUGCUGGUGAACUGAAGCUGACUCUUUUCUGCUUCCCAAAAAUACAAUGUUCACAGAAUUCCAAUGGCCCGGUACUUUGACCACACAGAAGUCCUCUUUUGCUCAGUAUGCCCAAGCCUUUUUCGCUCAUGUGCCCCAAACGCAUAUGCCAUAAUUUGGUGAUGUCAGUAUCUGACAAAGAUGAUGUUGAAACAGCAGCAGCACCUGUCACAGUAGAUCCCUGCAAAAUAUACAAAGUACCAGAUCUGUGUGCCUUCAUAACAACAAGAGCUCCUCGAGUGAUUUUGAGAACUCCGUUUCCACCUGAAUACCUGCACCCGAUAGACUCAAGAGUGCCCAAAGAGAUGAGAUUUUUCUUCAAAUCUGGAACAUGUCUAACAUCUGUGAGAGUCCUCACAAUACCAUCGUACAUUUUAAUUUGGAUUGUGCCUUUGCCAACUACUUUACAAACAGCGUUUUUGCCCAUUAAGACAACUCCACCUUCAGUUGAUUCAUAUGUUGAAAACCAAUCCCUGUUGGGACACAUAUGAUACGAACAACCCGAAUCUAAAAUCCACUCAUUGUUAGACCUAAAAUUAUUUUCCGUUGCACAGAAAAUGGUUCCAUCAUUCUCAUCAGCUGCUAUACUAGCUUCAGCGGAUUCAGUAUUUUUCUCAACAAAUUUCCCCUUUUGCUUUUCCUUAUUUUUCAAUUUAAAGCAAUCAGAAAUAACAUGACCCUUCUUUUUACAAUAAUUGCACACCACAUUUUUAUGUCUGGACUUGGAUCUAUUUCUAUUUUCUGUGUUUCUCUUUUCAGAUCUACCCCGAACAAACAAGCCAUCAGCUUGACUCCCACUAGUUUCCCCAGUAAUAUCCCUAUCUAUCUGCUCUUUAGAUUUUAACGCAGAUUUAAUUUCCCGAUACAAAAUUGUUUCCUUUCCAUAUAUCAUAGUAUCACGGAAAUACUUAAAGGACUGAGGAAGGGAACAUAAAAGUAAUAGGGCCUGAUCUUCAUCAUCAAUUUUCGAAUCUAUAUUCUCCAAAUCCAUAAUAAUGGAAUCAAAUUUAUCAAGAUGGGAGAGUAUAGAUGUACCUUCAGACAUCCGAAGCAUAUACAAACUCUGCUUCAGAUAUAGCCGAUUCUCGACUGUGUUCUUCAUAUACAAGGCUUUCAAUUUAUCCCACAUAGCCUUGGCCGAAGUCUCCGUUGCUACCUCACGCAAUAUCUCAUCGGAGAGAUUUAGGAUAAUACUGGAUCUUGCCUUCUUAUCCAUCUCAGCAAAAUUUGCAUCUGUCACAUCUUCUGGCUUUUUCUCAAUUCCUUGAAUUGCCAAAUCAACUCCGUCUUGAACAAGAAUGGCCUCCAUCUUGAGCUGCCACAUGCCGAAGUUGACAUUCCUGUCGAAUUUCUCGACAACCGUCUUUGUUAUCGUCAUUGUUGCCACAAAAUCUGUAACUUGAAAUUUGUCUCAAAAAAAAAACUGGCCAAACAAAUAUGCAAGUCUCGUGAGCGGGCCCCACAGGGUGAGCGGACCCCACGAGAUAAGCGGGCCCCACGGGGAUGAACGGACCCCACAAGGUGAGCGGGCCCCACGGAUAAACGGACCCCACAGGAUGAGUGGGCCCCACAGGAUGAACCUGUCUUGCAAAAUAUAACAACCAGCUCUGAUACCAGUUUGAUAGGACCGGGCCAGGAAAUAGACAAACUCAAGUUAGCACAAAUUAGGCGGUAUAACCGACCAUAUAAUAGAUAGGCGGUAGAUACCAGCCAUAUAAUAAUUAGGCGGUAAAACCGACCAUAUAAAGACGGAUAACAAAGCAAAUAAAAGACACAAAAGAUUUACGUGGUUCGGUCAAAUUGACCUACGUCCACGGGCGAGAGAGGAGCAAUAUUUCUACUAUGAAGAAGAAAUACAAAAGCCGUAGGAAAGUGGUUCCUAGGCCAAUAGGCACUUACAAAAGAGUUUAGGAAAUAUUCCUAAACUCAAAACAAGAGAGCCUAAAAUAUUUAACUGAAUGGGCUAGAUGACUCAAGAAACUAAUAGCCCAUAUAACUCUCUUGAGUGGUGCAAGUUAAAUCCUUCAAAGGACCCUUCUAUUUAUAGGCCUCGAGUAGCCGGCUUCUCUUCAGCAGGCUCCGAUGUGGGAUGAGAAGGAAAUGAAAAAUUAUGCCACAAGUCAAAGCUUGCGGCUCUGACAAAACAACAUGCUUCAUGCUCCAUUUCAUAAAUAAAAAACAAAAGGAGCAUUUGCCAAACAAAUCAGCUCAUAACAGAUAAUAAGUUGGAAGCCCUCCCAAUUAUUUUUUCUUUUUUCAAUAAAAACUAAAACAUAAACAGAUAGUUUCUCACUUUUUUUUUCGCCAAACCUCCCUCAGUGCAACAGUAAUCGGUGGUUUUCCAAGAUAAACUUUAAGAAAAAUUCCAAUAGUUUUACAUACACACACUCCCUCCGCGGGGGGUCUUCUCCUUUUAUGAGCUAUAAAUCCCCUAUGCUUGGAAGAAGAACUCCAUAAUUGCCAGAAACCCAGGAUCGCUAUUAUCAUUUUUAUACUUUACACCUUCCACAGUACACUCCUUAACUUCUCGUAUUCCUUGUAAAGAAACUUCAAAUUACACAUACACUCACAGAUACACACUUUCCAUGGCAAAAUGAAUAAAAAAUAAAACGUUACUGAACAGCCUGUCAGAUCAAAUGCAAGGUCCGUCCUCAAGCCAACACCCAAAAGCAUCAGCAACAGCAGAAGAAGAUGAGAUCGCACAAUUCAUCGUUUGCAAUGAGCUCGUCAAUUAGAUUCUCUCAAGCUUCUGGUGCGUUUUCAAAUCUUGGCUUUGUUAGAUCCCUGGAGUUCGUCAAAACCCAUGUGGAGAAAUCUCACAAUCCACAAAACCAAUGACUACAUGUUGCAUAGUUUUUUUUUUCAUGAUUGGUUUUUAUCCAAAAUUAAGCAGUCUUCUCUUCAUUUUGCAUUGUAUUUUAGGCAGUUAAACUACCAGAGAGAGAGAGAGAGAGAGAGAACAUCUUGUGGUAGUGCUUGUUGUUCCAUUAGGCCAAGUUAAAGGUCUGAAUACAUUGAUAUGCUCAAAUUGGCAUUUUCUCAGAUUUAACCAAACUGAACUAAAAUAAGAUCAAACAAAACAUGGUCAAACACUCUUUUUACAACUCAAAUAAAUUGCUUUUACAAUUAAAAACAUUAAUGAAGUAGAUUGGAUUAAGCCAAAAAAACAACAAUUCGUAUAAUUUGACCUCUAAAGUGAAGCGGAAAUCAAAUAGAGAAAAUUGGACAAAAAAUUUAUGUAGUUUGGUUUAAAAGCUACCUACAAUAUCUUAGGUCGUCUUCUCCUUGUGUAAUUUUUGAAUAUGCAACAUAAAAGGCUCGUCUUUUGAUGUUAACAUCUUUAAGUUUGGCAAAUUACAAACGUAAGGACUUUGUUUUGAAACAUUCAUGAAACGAUAGUGAUACAAGGCCGAAAAUGUAUCAUCAAAAAACAUAUGGUUGUGUACUGAUCUAUGUGUGAUGUAUUUAUAAGCUAAUCUAACGUACAAGUGGUUCAAAGCUGAUCUACCACUUUGUAGUGAUUAGGUUCAAAGAAUCUUCACUAAAAUAGUGGUUCAAUCGAAUGACACCAUUAUUUAUGCAUACGAUUAUCAGAUUAUUCUGUAACCUUUGGAAGUCUAUUUUUUAAAAUUUGAAAUGGCCGAGGAUUGUUGAAUAUUUUCAAAAUUUGAUUAGUUGCAAGAUGGGGUCCUGUCUUAGGAUUCAACAUGAGACCCAUCACUAUUUGGUUCUUGUAAUGCUCAGCUAUGUUUUCAGAACCGGACCGGGUAGUGACUUGGCCGAGGUCAGGGGUCAGGGGUCAAUGGAUUCGACCGGGGGUCGAUAGGGGUCGAACCGGAUGACGUCAUAAAUAAAAAUUAUUUAAAAAUUAAAAUAUUAUAUAUAUAAUAUCUAAUAAUAUAUUGAUAUUAAUAAAGGUAUAUUCAUAUAUAUUUGAUGUUUCAAAUAUAUUUAACAAGAAAAUACAAAAAAAUUAGAACAAUCAAGUAGCAAUUUAUAUUAUUUAAUAAAUAUUAACAAGUUAGAAUUAAAAUUAUGAAUUUAAUUGAAAAAUAACAUCAAAUUUUAGGACAAUAUUUAUAAAGUAUCAAAUAUUUGAGGUAUAUCAAUAAGUUUUAACAAUUUAGGGGGUCAAAACAUAAUAUUAAAAAGUUUGAAUUUUUUUUUAAAAAAAUUACUGUUGAACCAGAAAAAUCGGUUUUUUCCCGAUCAAACCCUGUUUUUGACCGGCUUUGACCGGGUUUUAAAUUUUCGGUUUUUUAAUAUGACUCGGACCGGCUACCUGGCCGAUUCCCGGUUCGACUGGCCGGUCCGGUCCGAGUUUUAAAACAGAGAUGCUCAGAAGUUGUUUAAAUCUACUUGACAUCUUUUCAUAUUUUUGACAGUUGAUUAUCCAAAAACUGUCUGAACACUUACAUUGAUAUUGAGGAAAUUUUUUACCAACACAAAUGCACAAAUCAGUGGUGAAAGGUUGAACUCUUGAUCAUUUUCAAUCUCAAUUCUAUAAAGGUCUAGUAGGGAUAGCUUGCUGUAGAAGAUUAUUUUUCCUACUAUUAGAAUUUUUUGCAAAAACACACCAUAGUUCAAGUAGAUUUGUUUAACUUUGUACAAGAGUUAAGACAAGCAUUCUUCAAAUUAUCCUAAAGGAUAUUUUUUCAAAGUUUUUACACACAAAAUUUUGGACAAAUAAAGUUUAAAGGAAAGUGAUCUUGAAUCACGAUUUGAAGUCUUUUUGCUUUGUAACUUUCAGCCAUGUUCUCUUGUAGUCUCUAAUAAUUUUUUCGAGGCUCUAAUUUGGAGACGCAUACAUUGCACGUGGAUUAGAAUAUGGCUAGAAGGAAGACUAGGAGAAUAGUAGAGACCAAUAUAUAUAUAUACUAGUUUUGGGGUGCCACGCAUUGGCGUGGCACUGCCCAGGUUUGUGUUUAAUAUGUAUAUAUAAUUUUGGUGUUAUUUAUGAGAAGAGUGUUGUAUGGUAAUACUGAUGCAAUGGCGUGACAGGAUUUAGUUAUUAUGGGCAACACAUACAAAAGAAAAAAUAAAAAACUAAUAAAUAGAAGAGAACCUGAAAGAAAGAAGAGAAGAAAGCUCCCUAUAGCCUAACCGAAAGCAAAAAACAACGGAGUUAAACUGACAUCACAGUCACCCAGCGAACUCGGAUCAAUCCAGUAUUUGCUCAACAAUGACCAAACGUACCAUGCAGCAGCCAACUGGACAAUGACUCAACGCACCCUAUACACAAUAUAGCGCCACACAGUCACCUACAACAGCACCCACUAACAUGCACCCGAUUCAAUAAACCCCACUAAAAGGCAAUGCCCAGGUUUAAGCUUAGCAUGUAUAAUUUUAGGGUUCUGUUUAUAAUGCAAUGCAUGUAAUGGUAUCCAAAUGGAAAUUCAUGUGCAUGUGGUGAGAAUAUUUGUCUAUAAUAAUGAUAUACGCGUUAUUGAAUCUGGAGUAAAUAUACUUACAGGAGAGAUAAUUAAUUGUAUUAGGUUUGUCAUGCCUAAAUGAUUUUUGUUGAUAAUUUGGAAAGGAUUAUUUUGUUUUAUUUUUUAUUGUUCCUUUGAUAUGUUAUAAUUUCUUUUAUGGGUUAUCCUAAUUGUUAGGCUCAUAUAAUAACUUAGGUAGUAACUAAGUUAGGAUAGUUAAAUUCUGAUUUUUGUUAACACUCAAUUGAAUUCUAAUUAUCAUCUACUAUUAGCUAGUCAAUAGUUUUAGUAUAGUUAAAUUAGUUAAAUUUUUCAUUUUGAAUUCAAAAUUUGAUUUUAUUAUAGUUCAAUUAGUUAGCUAGUCAAUAGUUUUAGUAUAGUUAAAUUAGUUAAAUUCUAAUUAGCUAGUCAACACUCAAUUAAAUUCUAAUUAUCAUCUACUAUUAGCCAGUCAAUAGUUUUAGUUUAGCAUAGUUAAUUUAGUUAAAAUUUUCAUUUUGAUUUUAUUAUAGUUAAAUUAGUUAGCUAGUCAAUAGUUUAAGUAUAGUUAAAUUAGUUAAAUUUUUCAUUUUGAAUUGAAAUUUUGAUUUUUUUUUAACACUCUAAUUGUAAUUAGGAACGAUUAGCUCCUUGAAUUGGCCAAUAUUACACCAAUAACCGGUCUAAUGUGGCUAAUAUUACACCUAUUUGAUUUUAUAUCAUAUAUUUCUAAUUGUAAUUAGGAAAAUUUUGAUUUUAUUAUAGUUAAAUUAGUUAGCUAGUCAAUAGUUUUAGUAUUGUUAAAUUAGUUAAAUUUUUCAUUUUGAAUUGAAAUUUUGAUUUUUUAACACUCUAAUUGUAAUUAGGAACGAUUAGUUCCUUGAAUUGGCCAAUAUUACACUAAUAACCGGUCUAGUGUGGCUAAUAUUACACCUAUUUGAUUUUAUAUCAUAUAUUUCUAAUUGUAAUUAGGAACGAUUAGUUCUUUGAAUUGGCCAAUAUUACACCAAUAACCAGUCUAAUGUGGCUCCAUGCAAUCACCAACAAAUGAAGAAUAGUUAUUGGCACCACCGUAACCAAAGGGCCCUCAGAUUGGUGUAAAUUACUGCAACAACCCACUAAGACACCCUAACCAAAGGCCCCUCAAAUUGAUGAAAAUUACUGCAAUAACCGGACCACAAUUGCUACAGUAACUUGAGCUUGGUACUUUUAUAUCUUGUAAGAUAUAUAUAUAUAUAUAUCCCAACAAUAUAUUUAUAUCCCCAAAUGGAUGCUUUUCUUCUGCCCCAAUUCUUUAAUCUUGGUAGUCCUUGAUGUAUAACUGGCUGCUAAUAUAGCAAGUAUUUGAAUGACAUCAUAUGGUAAGGACAUAAAUGCAUCCACUUAAUACAGUCCAUAUUUGCAUGCAUGUUACAUGACAACGUAGACAUUCAAGAGACCAAAAGUGAACUAAGAAUAUGUCUAGUUGCAUAUCAUUGUGUUGAAACCUUGAAAGCCCUUUUAACUGAUAGUUGUACCUGUACCCCAAAGUUCCUGAUCGAUCGCCAGCCCUGAGUUCGUUAUGUGGAGAAUUGUCUGUCAACAUCUAUAACUACAAGAAGCGAAGGUUGGUUUUUCAUGAUAGUUUCUCACUUGCAAUCCAAUAUCCUGAUCAUAUUUUUCCAAGCUUUGGAAAAAGACGUGAAUUUCACGGGGGAUUUAGAUGGAAAGCAAAAGGAGUAUGGUAGUAAUGAUCUCAAAAAGAAGACAAGGAUCUUCCUUGUCCCAUCGACCUUGGCUGAGAGUUUAGUUGAUUUCGUCCAUAUAUAUGCAGGCCAUGUAGGCUAUGUAUGUUACAUGUUAUAGGCCUCAAAUAAUCUUUUCCAGGCCUUGGUUUGGAGAAGCACAUAAAUCGCACGAGGAAUAUUACAGGAGGAGAAUGGUAGUGACAAUUAAAAAAGACCAAGGAAACCCUCUCAAACACUUGCUUUCGAUUAACAUUUGCUCAGCAUCUGAGAUUAGUUGAUGACGGAAACACUCAUCAACUGUUUGCCAUCCAUAACCUUUGCGUGCAUGUACGAGUAUGCUAGAUGGCUGAAGCUUCAAACAUACAGCUGAAUUUGAGUUUUUUUUUUUUUUUUUUGAGGUUUUAGACGGUGGAUUUUGGGAUUAAUUUCUCAAUCAAGUGCAAGAAUGUUGACCAAAAUAUGGAUUUACAACUUUAUGCUACUUGUCAACUUUGGCUGAUAAUUAAAAAAAAUGUUGCGUUUGCAACUACCUGCCAACUCUUUGCUCUCAUUUUCUACGUUUAUGCUUGAGAUUCUGAAAUUUUAAGGGGUUUGAAUCAAUAGUUUUAUGGUUAAAUUCACUGAAGUGUGACAAAUGGACUCAAAUUGAAAAAAAAAAAAAACAAAAGUAAUUUAAGCAAGGUAUCAUAAGAGGGAGAAUGAAGAAGAAAAGAGGGGAGAAAUCAAUCCAGAGAAUGAACAGUACCACGACAGAAACUGUUAUAAAGGAUAAAAGAGUUGCAACAAUGAUGAGGGAUGUGAGAGUGGUCUUAAGAUACAUAGGUCUUACCAUUUCCGAAUCUAAUCUGUGUAAUCAAUAUAUUUUUAAUGCUUUCUUUUUCUUUCAACAAUUUUUUUCUUGUAAUAAAUUUAAAUUAUUCAUUUAUUUUUCUAGAGUAACUUUACUUAAUCAGGCUUUAAUUUAUUAAUUUUUUCUUAGAAACUAAGUAUUUGUUUCAUGAGAAAAUGGAUUACUGCAUCUUUUAUAUUUAAUUGAAAAGGUUACGUAGCCUUAGGUGUAUAAUUAUUGUAAAAAAUUUAAUUGCUAUCUCAAAAACCUUUUUUUUUUUUUGGUUUAUGCAUCCUAUUAUGACAUAUUUAUGUAUAAAAGUUAUUAAAAAUUGGUAUGGUUGUCGACUAAUUAAUAUGUAAUAAUUUUCUGGAAUAAACAUCAUAAAACAUAUAAGAAUAUCAUUCAUAUUUCUUUUCUUUUUCGGUUAUUUAUUCCUUGGACAUGUUCGUAAAUAAUUAACAAAAAUACGUGCAUUAGCACGGCUGAAAUACUAAUUAUUAUUACUUCAAUGAAAUCCACGAUGGUUGUACGUACUCUUUUAUUUGAAAUUUAUAUUUGUCGACUUGAAAAUGACCAAGAACAAUGCAACACCAUUUACGUGGCUUAAAUUAAUACGACAUGAUUACUACAACUAGGAAUAAUCUAUUUCUCAUGUAGAUCGACUAUGGAAAAAACUAUUUGGACACAAAAACUGCAUCGUCUUCUAAUUCUUUAGUUGUCCAAAUUGCUUCAUGAACUUCAAAAUUGUCCUUAAACUUUAGAUUGGGAUAUCUUAUUCCUAAAAUGCAAAAGCUUCUGCCAUUUUAAUUAGCCCUUCUCAUAAGAUAAUCAUUGCAUUAAAAACUUACUUAAACAAGCAAACUAUGAUUGAAAAUAAUAGAAAUGCUAUUCUCUUUAUCGUGAAAGGACCUUAUGCUACAAGUGAACUACAACGUGAUAAAGUCAUGACAAUAGAUAGGGAAGCUUGGAUAAGUACCAAAAUGUUGCCUAAUCUUGUGAUCUCUUGGCCUAAAAUUUAAUGUCGGUGUUACAAUAACAAGUUAAAUAUUUAGUUAAUGGUCAUAGUAAAAGCAAAUAAUCUUCAAUCAGUCAAAUGAGUCCCAUCGUGAAUUAAUAGACAUACAUCAACUUAAUUAUCUAAUUUUUUUUUUUUUUUUUUGGAACGACACCAUUUACACAUCUAAAAAAUAAGCAACCAUAUUCUUUAGGGUAUGAUCUCAACUGUAUAUGGAUAUAGAAGUCACAAGUUCACGCCUCACUUAAUUAUUUGAGGUCGAUUUGGUUUUGCAAAGACAUAUAUUUACUAGUCAUAAAUAAUAUAUAUAUUAACUAGGUAAUUUUUGGAGCCAAAAUUAUUCUCUUUCCCAGGUUGCAGUAAACAACUUAAAGAACCUAAUUCCAGCUUACCUGCGGAUUGAUAUAUAAAUUGGGAUUUUGAAUCUUGAAUCUUCUUCAAAUUAUCUGUCGUGAAUUAGAUUGAAAGACAUAUUCAUUUUCUUAAAAGAAAAAAGCAGUAAACUGAACUUAUAACCCGUCAUGGGUCUAUCACAUCACAGGGAAGGAAUGUUGCAACACCAAACAGUGAAAAUGUCUCCAAUGAAACAUCAUAAUAAAAAAUUCCCAGCAACUCUACAAAAAUUUUGACACAAACUUUCAAAUAUAGAAGUACUGCGACACUUUCUUGAAACCUUUCUGUGUUUUGCACAAACUCAAUAGCCAUGCCAAGAAACAUCAUGAUUUGCACGCACCAUGUUUCAAGUUUGAGAUCCCUCCUAUCCUGGAACCCAAACUCAGCAACUACUUGAAUUCCUCUUAAGUAGCCAUCUUGUCUUGUCAGGGGAUCCCUUGUAGAUCCAUCAUCUUUCAAUGUCACCAAACCAUCAAGCAUGACCAGCGCAGAGGCAUAUAGAGUUGUGAACGGAUGAACAGUCAAGUAAUAACUAUACGAUUUGAGCUCCUCAAAUCGAGAGUAACGUUGUCUUUGCGAUCCCUUGACGUAUAUACAAGAUGAAACCGAAUCUUCUGAAUCUAAAUACAUUGAAUUUUGGUCUACAAUGCUUGGGGAAUGACCAAAUUCUCCACACUUGAGAUCAAAACGAGAAUUGGACGAGAAGUUUAGGAGGAAUUAAGUAACUAGAGAAUAGUAAAGCUGGUCUGCAACAUAAAACAGGGAUUUUGCCACAUCCUCUGAUAUUGCAUCAGACUUGAACUUUGCAUCUUUCGUUGUCUAUAUGGCCCCAAUCAAUUAAAUGGAUGCAAAUCAUGCAAUGAUGUGGAGGCCAGUGUAUAGUGUAUAAUCCGUUAUAAUCUUACAUGUAUGCAUAAACGGAUGUAUAGCAUGAAUCUUUCACACAUAAACACCUGUUUAUGCACACUGGUGUGAUUAAUUAGCCUUCUCAAGUGGGAAAACUAAUUAACAUAAUACAUAGGGCUCUGAAAUCCUUGCCAACUUAGAGUAGGAGUACGCCUAGACUGCUAGUGAUGCUUAAAUGCAAUUAGAUGACGGGUUUUAUUUAAUCAGAUUUUCAAACGAUUGUAGUUAUUCUUGGUGCUUUAUGCAUAAAUGGAGAAACCUCAUUCAUUGCUUUUGGAUAUCUUAUCACUCAUAGAAAAGUAUACAUGAUAGAGUAGAAAAACAAAAUUCUCUGCUUAAUUAGCGAUGAUUUGAUUUAUUAAACCAAUUGAACAUGUACACUGGGGUCAAUUUCGAAAGAUUUUGCACUUCACACUUGUAAACGAUAUUAGAUUCUCAAAUAAUCACACAAAUUAAGGCGUUUGAUACUUGGCACGCUACUAGUCAGCUAGUUAUAGGCUAGAAUAUGACGGUUUAUCAUAUUUUCAUUUUGCCACUUAAAAUGAUCAAAGCGAUUGUGAUGAUGAUGAGGGUUGAGGGAAGUGAAAGUGAAAGUGACAUUAAUUAUCAUUUUGAUUGAAAGCUGUGUCCUUCCAAGCUUGAGAUAUAUAACGAUCUAAGGGGUAGGAAGCAUUUUCUUUUCUGCGGAAAGAAGGGUGGAAGUGACUGAAACAGGAGCAAUAUAAAGAUUUGGACAUCCAGGGAAUGCAGCACAGGAGAAGGGAAUUAAAGGGAGUGGUGACUGAGAAUCUUGUUGAUCCUCCUGAUAUAUGCAUGCUCUUACCUCAGAAUCCUCUAGCUCUGAAGAGGGUAAUGAUGAUUCUGAUGAUAACUACGACAAUAACUAGGAAGAACCAGGGAGCUCUAUUAUCACUUUUAUGGGCCCAUAAAUAUCAAACAACAAAAAUAAUUUAUCAAGCAAGAAAGCACAAAACAAAAAAUGGAGUCUAUCAAAAUGCAGCGGCUACAACUUACUAAAGAAAUGGAGACAGUGCCUUUAGUCACUAUUUCGACAUUUUGAUGAAUGGCUGACCGUGUAUUUCCUAAUUGUAGAAUUACGUAGGUAAUUUGUGGAGCCAAGAUAUUGUUUUCACAAUUUGCAGUGCAUAUAGAGGAUUAAUUUGCAGUACAACUCAAAAAAUGGAAUUCCACACAUACACACGCACACACAUAUAGAGGAUUAAUUCUUCUUACAUCGUCACACUGUAUAUGCUGAUAGGAUUGAAUGAAUGUCAUAUUAUUUGAAUUUGAAUUUAAACAUUAAAUUUUGUAUAUGUGAUAUGCAUUAAUUUAAACCCGUUAGUGUAUACGCUAUUAAUGCAUAAAAGAUUUACUCAUUUAUAUAUAUAUAUAUAUAUAUAUUUGGAAAAACACGUGACUUGCACGAGAAUAUUAAGACCAAGAUGAAUAUGAAAAAUUUCUAUCCUAUAAAGUUUUUUGGGUUUCGAUUGCAUGUACAAGGGUAGACUUGCCAACAAGCCAAACACCAAAGUGCAACAGAGAAGUGGCCCUAACUAACCUCCUUCGAUUUCUCCAUCCACGAAAAAUUAUAGCGCAAAUGAUUCUUGCGUCCCUAUAGAUUAUGUUUUAGGAAGCACCAAUCCUGGUUAAACAAUUUGUGAAACAAGGCUUUAAUAUGAGUAUAGAUUAUGAGUAUAUAUAAAUUAACAAAGGCAAUUUCUAGAGGGUAUACAACUUGUUUAAUUCAGAGAAUUAGAAUAUCGUACAUGGUAUGCUUGUCUUGUGGAUGUUUUUUGAAUUUAUUAUCUCUCUGUAUAUUCUUUUUUUUUUUUUACAAGUCUUGAAAAUAUAUUGUUCUAUGUCUUUUUCCAAAAUAAAUUGUAUUUUUCUUUUCAAUUUGUCAUUUUAUGGGGAUAAAAAGUUCCAAAUUCAUAAUGGUCUCUUUUUUCUUUUUUUCUUUUUUUAUAAGCCCUAACGGUCUUGUUUUGAUUUGGUUCAGAAUUUGGGAACCUACUAUCUUUUUAUAGUUAAAAAAGAGUAUAAAACUAAGUCACUUUAUGAGCCUUGACAGUAGAUAUUAACAUUUGUUGGAAAAAACAUAUGAGUCUUGAUAGUAUUAUGCUUCUUUUAAAUUAAAAAAAAAAAGGGAAAAACAAUGGCACAAAGUUGGGCACACUUUUGUUCUUAGUUUUACACAAAUGAAUUAUUAGAUUUUUAAACUUAUGUUGUAAAAAAAAAAAGGACAACUAAACAAAAAAAAAAAAAAGAGGAAAUGAAAAGAAUAGAGAUGAAGCUGAAACACAAAUAGUCAAACUCUCAUUCCACAUUUGUUGAUCUAUUUGAAAUGGUCUUUUUUAUCAUUUGCAAAAUUCUUUUCUUACCAGAAGUUUUCCAAAACUAAAGACACCACCUUUUAAAUACCAAAAUUCAUUAAUUAUAGUAACGUUAUUCACAUUAACGAGUGCCCAUUGAACAUCCGUGGACCAAUUAACAAAUAUGUGAAAUGAGGCUUUAAUAGAUUUAAUGACAAUAAUAGUUUUCUCGACUGUACUUCUCGGAUGAGUAGCUCACCCUCAAGUAUUUUUAUCUCUCUUUUUCGAGAAGAAAAUAUUAAAAAGAUAGGUUUUCUUGAGCAAACAUUAAUCUUCUAUCAAUCACAGAUAAACUUGUACGCACAAAAAAAAGAAAAAGAAAAAUAGAAAAUGAUACAAGUAGUACAACUAGUCAACCCAAAGGAAAACUUAGAAUCCAUUUGGAUUGCAUUUUUUUUUUUUUUUUUUGGAGAGUUUUGUAGAAGAAUUCAUGUGACGAUUUUUUUUUUAGGUGUGAUGUAUAUAAGGUAAAAAGGUAAUUGAAAAAUGUGAAAAUGAAUAAUUUGAUGGAAACUCAAAAAAAUUUUCCACUGAAAGUACAACCCAAACAAGGCCAAAUUAUUUACCUUCGGAAUGCUAGAGGCUUUGAGAAGUUCUGUAUAGUGCAAACAAAGCAGUAUUGGUUUACUUUAGAGAAUUGAAAUUAUCUUCCUCAAUCAGUACAUCGAAAUGCAAAAGAAAACAAAUCCAUCCAGCCUAAACUUAUUUUCAAUUGAAGUAUGAAAUUAUCCUGAAUUAAUGCCUUUACAUAGAUAGCUCUCAUUACCCUUACUCCUUCUACUCAUCAUGUUCAACUUUUGGUCUGUAAUCUGCUGAGGUGCACAGAUGUUGCACCUUGCCUGAGCUAUAUUAAUGGUAUUUGCAUUUAGUUGCCACUUAGACAUGAGGUAAUAUGCAUUUGUCUUCUUAACAUCUAUAUAUAUAUGUGUGUGUGUCUGUCACAGAAGGAGCACCUGUAGUACAUUUUAAGUUGUACCCAAUUUAAGCUUAAAUGUGUAAUUAAGUGACACACCUACUGCAAUUGUAACUCAUAAAUAAAUAUGCUUAAUUACCCAAAAAAUAAAAUAAAAUAAAAAACUCACAAUACAUACCAAGAAUCUUUAUAAAUGUAUUUUUGAGCAUUUUAAUUAAUCUUUAUAAAUCUUAAUUUAAGAAUAUAGAGAUGCUUUAAUUACGUAGUUGUCAAUUCUAAUUCUUGAACAAUUUUGUUAAGCCUGUUGUUACAUCAGUUUCCCUCAUUUUCUAAGACAUUUCCAUAUCAGAAACUGAAAAAAAAAAAAAAAAACAUGUUUUUUAGCUACCCAAAUAUAUAUAUAUAUAUACAUGUUUUUUUUUUAAUGAAUUCUGCGUAUUUGAUGCCUACUGUUGAGUGUUAUCCAAUACUGCUACUAAAUAUUCAUACAUCAAUAUAUGCAUAUCUCUAAUUACAACUAGUACUUUGAUAUAAUUAAGCAUAUAACUAUGAAGAAAAUUGAUUAUAUAUUUGUAAGGUCUGCUGCUUCUGUUGGCCGACUUAAUUGGUGGCCACGAGAACUCUCAUUUUCAUCCAAGUCUGGCGACGUACCCCAUUUUGCAUGGGGGCAAUCCGCCAUCUCCAUUGAUGGAAGUUGUUGUUUUAGCCAGUAGAUCGAGGACGGACCAUAUUGGGCUCCUCGCCAGGAGCUGAACCCAGCUGGACCAGAGCCAUCGGUGUUCAAUCAGGGCAUAGACUGCACUACUUCUGCUGAUCGUGUGGAGCUUAACAUAGAGCAGCUGCCGCAUCUUUUUCCCUCUAUAUUACCGGCGACUGCAAUGCAUUAAUACUUCAUCAUGAAACUUCAGACAGCAGCGAACCAGAAAAUUUUUCUUCAUCUUAAUUUCUCUACACUUUGAACCUAGCUAGUUCGUUUUAGUAUGCAGAACUGUUGUUUAGUUGUAAUAUAUUUGGUUUCAAUUUCUCUCAACAAGAAAUUCUAGCCGAUUAAGGGCCGAGAGUAGAUGAAUUUAGUUCAAGAUCUGAAGUGAAUGCUCUCUUAGAAUUCAAGCUCCAUUAUUGAAAACUGAAUAUUCAAGAUUGUGCUGUCUAAACAUCUCACUUUCAUUCGAAUUGCAAUAACACAUAUUUGAAACAAUUGGACCAACAUACUUUAAUAGCUCGUGUGAAACAAUUUAGGGCACUUCUAAGCUCUAGAUGAUGAAAUGUGCAACCUUCGUGAAAAAUAUAGAUUUAAUUUAAUUAUUCUAAAAGAAAAAGUAUAAAAAAAAAAAAAAAAAUCCAUGGCCUAGUUAUUUCCAAAACAGAAAUUAAAAAUUUUUACUUAAGACUAUAGACUAGUGCAUUCACAAUACCACCCCAAAAUGGAUGUUUAACUAGCUAGCUAAUAUGGCAUGUAUUUCAAUAUAUGAUAUGUUAAGAAAAUAAAUACACCAUUAAAGUCCAUAUUUGCAUGUACAUUUUUAUGUGACAAUGUAAACAUUACACACUCAAGAGUCCAAGUAGGACUAAUGUCCAGCUGAAUACAUCCCAUCCCAGAAGGUCCUUGUCUGAAACCUUGAGAGCUGAUAGUAGUAGCAUCAGUACCUAAAAAUUCCAGCCACCCCAGAAGCUAGCAGAACCACCAGGUAAUUAAUUACAUAUACAAGAGCAAAAGGUACAAAACUAGUCCCAAUUUCAUACUUUGGAACAUGAGUAGUGAAGUUAAUAACUUUUUUUUUCUUGAUUUUUUGGACUUGCUUGGUUUAGAUUAUGAAAGUCUAGACUGAACUGUUGUCCAAUUGGGCUAUAAAUGCUGUGAUCAAUGUCUUUUUGGAUUUCACUAAAUUCCUUUUUUGCACUAUCUAUGACAUCAAAUUCAACUUCUACAAGAGAAGAACUUGCGAACAAUGGUUUUUAGGUUUGUAAUCCUGGGUGCACACAUGUUGCACCAUGCCUGCGCUAUACUGGUAUAGCAUUGAGUUUUCACUUUGGCAUAAGGUAAUAUGUGCAUUAAUCUUCUUACCAUCUAUAUCCGUCGAAAAGAUCAUCUAACCUGGAUUUUACUGCUUUUAGAUGAACUCUUAAUUAUGAAUAUCGUGUUAAGAAUCUAGGCCAAAGUUCAAUGUCUGAUUAAAUUCUUUUUUGGCAACUGAUAUCAUCUAAGAAAACAUCAUUAUAUUUAUAGAGUGAUUUUGCCAUUAGACGAAUAUUUGGAAAAAUAAAAAAAUUAGGAUGAGACUGCUCUAUCAAGGGUUUUAAUCUGUAGGUCUAACAUUUUGUUCUACUAAAGGUUGAUUGGUGUGAGUAAUGUAUCAACUCUAAACAAAUUAUUGGGAAUCCAUUACAAGUAAUAUCUGCUACUUCUAGGUAGAUUGAAGAUUGAAGUAUAGUGGCAAUUAAGCAAAUUUUGUUGUGAAAAUCUAGACUGGACUCUUGUCCACUUGGCCAUAAUUUUUGCAAUCUUUAAGUGCCUAAGAAACUAGCUUAAUAGAAGUGCAUGAAGCGUUACAACUAUUAUGAUCCCAUGAAGCUAGUAACAAGGCUGCUAGGCCAAUCUCUUCCUUUGUUCUAUGAACCCUACAACCACCAGAGACUUUGUUCUGUGGUCGGGCAGAAAUUGUACGCAUGAAUGGAGCCCCAUCCACCCACAAAUCCACCACCAAAAGAAAAAGGCGGAAGAGCAACAGAUGAUGUGAUUUCCCAAUACUAUCACAUAAGAUCAGCUUUCCCUCCUCCUCUUGCCCGGGCUUGGGACCGGCUGUCUGUGGAGACAGGCGGAGUUACAAAGCCAUCCUACCAAACAAAACAGCACAAGCAUACAAGCCAGCCACAUUCAAGAACAAUAGAGAAGAAAGUUAUCCCCACCAAAAGGCAAGCUACAAACGUCUCAGCAAUCUCACAAAUAGCGAAAUAGACUUGCAACAAUCCAUACCAGAGUACAAGAGAACUCUACGAAUAGCACAGCACACCUUUCCUUAAUAAUAUACCUUUUUUUUUUUUUGGGGGGGGGGGGCCGCGGGGAGGAGGGUUUUUAAGUGUCCACACGGAGGGGGGGCCUUCAAACCCAUUAGACAGCCUUGAAUUUACCAAUUAGAUCACAAAUUACCACACAUUCCUUCAAGUGACUAAAAAAAAUAAAAAUAAAAAUUUUAAAAAUUGAUGCUAAAAAUUUUACAUAAUGCUAAAGGCUGAUAAAAGAUCAAAAAUUACAUAGUGCAAUCAUCCAACAACAAAUAGACCCUACUUAUGGGACUUAAAAAGUCAACACACAUCACAGGGGCUUAAGCUACACAGGUAAAUCAUACAGAGAAUGACAAGUUGCCCUGGAAAACGGGAACUCUUUCAUUUCUUGAAUCCACCGAAAUCAACCUCAAAAGUUGUACGCACUUCAAAUAAAUUAAUGAUUUUCAAGACUUGUACACAAGGGCAUUUGGAUUCCUCUCAAUCUGUCAAUCAUUUAUGAUUGGUUAUAUGAACACAAUACACCUGUGCCAGGGCCUGUUAAGAUGCAACCACCUUCCCAAAACCACAACGCAUACAACUAUUGCAGAUCUUAGAUUGGACCUCUUGAUGCCACACCAUAACUGUUAAAGGCCACAAGCAAAUAUUGUCCAAUAAACCCAAGGAUAACAAAAUUCAGUUGCACUUUAAAGUUGCAUACUAAACCUAUGUACCAGAGGAUCACAAAAUUCAAGUAUGAAAUGAAAUUCACAAACAGUACCAGUACCAGUGGUAUGUAAGUUGAUGACUACGAAGACAGAUAUUGCACGCAUCUGUUCUUACAUGACUUAACAAUACCAGUACUGAUACCAGUUGUAUGCAAGUCGACGACUCUGAAAACAGAUAUUGCAUGCAUCUGUUCUAACAAGAUUGAACCGGCAUCUGCUUAUGAAGUGAGAAUAACCACCUGACACUGCUCUCUUCCACUCAAUUGUAGAUAAUGAACGCCAGCAGCGAGUACUCAAUGGUGAUGGAGAAACAGUUGAAGUUAUUGUGCAUAGUAACGGACAAACCAGUUAAAACAUACAAAAAACCCAAGAAAGGAUAGGAGGCAAGAAAUACACCCCCAACUUGACCAUGACCAUGAACUUGAUAAUCCAUACUGAGUUGCAUCUUAGGCCACACCCCAUAGUAUAUCAGAAGUUUCCACAUUCAAAGUCGUCAAAUCAAAUUCCAUGCAGACUAGAAAGCACUUCAUCUUUUCCAUCCAUAUGACUUAAAAGGAGAAACAGAAAUAGAAAUCCCAAUUUCUGGACAUUGAACUCAAGAACUGGCUGAGGUAAAGAUAUCUUAAAUUCACUGGAAUAAGCAUGCUUGCUACAGAAUAUACAAUACUCUGCUAAAUACCACCAUAACUCCAGAUAACGCUCAUACUAUCAAAGCAGAUUCUGCAAACUUCCCAGUAUAUUAACACCACCAUCAUGAAUAAACCUGGACAAACAAAAUGACACUACGGCUAAGCUCAGACAUAUCCAUUACAAAUGAUCAGGAUAAGAAACCUCUACAUCUGUUUUGAUUUCAUGUUGAUCGGUAGUAUGCAAUUAGGAUAACUGUGCAGAAGCUAGGUAGAAUGGGUUAGUAAUGCAGAAAUUCAGGCUUGAAAACACAGAUCUGACUUCAACUCCCAGCCCUUCCUGAAAUUGAAUGCCGUAAUUUAAUUUUAAAAACUACGUAGUACUGUACAAAGAGAACCAAACACAACCACAAGAGAGAAGAAACUCCUUUGGAAUCAUGCAGACCACAAUACCCGGUGACAAAAUGACCAGAGAUUCUUGAAUUCAAGCUCCCUCAAAUGAAGACCAGAUAAAGCCAAGUUAAUAACAACUCAGCAAAUGCAACAGACCAAGUAGGGAUAUCAGAGAGAGAGAGAAACUCCUCUGAAAUCAUACAGACCACAAAAUCAGAUGAGACAAGAAAUUCUUGAAUUCAAGCUCCCUAAAUGGAAACCAAAUAAGACUCAAGUUAAUAAUGAGCCCAACAAUCAUCACAUUCAGCAUAUGACAGACCAGGUAGGGAUGAGAGAGAAAUCAAUCCGGAUCAUGGUGAACCAUAAAUUUUCUCAUCCCUCCAAUAAAGUUCUUUGCAUCUCCUAAUAAUUCACCCCAUCUGUUAUUCUAUAACAAAAACGUCAAAUAGUGACAGAGAGAGUUUUGACAUAUCAAGAAGCUAAUUGAGGUCAAAAUUUUCCAAAAACUUAUAAUAGACCCUGAAAAACAUGACAAACCAAAUAUUCCUAUUCCCCCUCUUUUUUCUUUCGAUACUCGCUAAUGAACUCAAUAAUAAAAACGCUGAAAACACAGCAUAUCUGGAGAACCAUCAUGACUAAUUCAGAAUUCAUCCAUCAAAAGCUAAUGAAUUGAUGUAAUAUAUGUGAAACAUCCCACCGUACAACUCAAUUCCAUAAGGCCUAAACCAUUACCUUGACCCUAUUACUUGAAAAACCUAACCAUGAUCAAAACUCCUGAAUCCAAUCUGCAGAAUUAAACAAAUUAUAAAGCCUGAAUAAUGCGCCAGUGAUGUUCUCAACAAACACAAUAACAGAAUGACAUGAAGAGAGAUUCCAUGAUUCAAACCACAGUACCAUGGAUAUCUGAAAAAGAAUUAUCAUCCAAGAGACCUCUAUUUCUUCACAGUCCUCUCGCUAGGACUAGAGUUCUGCAAGGGAGUACCAGGACAUCAGAACCCAACUUAAACUCGACACCAAGAUGAAAACCAAUAUCAGAGCUGUCCAUUAGUUCCAACUACCCAGAAAUUUAAAUUAUAUUACAUACCAUCAGAACUGAUUAAAAUACGAAGCCUAACGAUAAUUCUCUUUAGAUCAUGAUGAGUUAUCAAAACACCAGGAACCGCCUAUACAUACAAGUUCAAUGGCAGAAUUAGAUAAAUUUACAAUAAAACAAUCCCCAAAGAAAGAAAAAGCCUGGGAUUAAGCUAAUUGUAAAUUAAUGAAGAAGAAAGUAAAAUAGGUGCAAGUGAAUUAAAUGGGCAGGUCGCAGGUGACCAAUAAUUAACAGUUGGGAUUAAGCAGUCAUACACAAUUGCUAUUCUCUUCCUUGAUGCAUAAGGUAUUUCCAAAAACAAGAAAAUUUUUAAUUAAAUUUAAAUUAUAUAAUAGCCUACACACAUCAGAAGGACCAAAGCCCAAAAAAUCCUCAAGGAGGAAGGAAUGGUAAGACUAGGUAAGAAGACAAACGCCCUCCAAAAUAAUGUACUAGCCUUUGAUCUGAGGAUAGAGACCUUAAAGUUUUCACCACACCUCCAAAUCACUGGAAUCCUAGACUUAACACAAAAUAAUAUACCAAAUUAAGAACAAGUAGAGAAAAUCAUUUUUCAAGAAAAUGAACCCAAAAAAAAAUUAAAAGAGAGUAGGGAAAGAGAGAGCAAAUCAAAAUCUUAUCACAACCGAGUAGCAGGAUGAUACUCUCGCAGUUCAAGCUUCCCUAAAAUCAAGACAACAGAUAGAAGCCAUCACCAAAUAUCCCCAGUGAAUUUUUCAAGGAAAGAGAACAAAGAAAGACCAUGUUGCCAAGAAAAGCCCCCGAUUUAAUUCACAUCUAUGCAAAAGAAAGCUCUUCUCGCCUCCACACACCAGAAGUCCACUAUUCUUGAAAGACGGCAUCAAAAGAACCAGAGAAGAAACACAGAUCUUGAAACAUCACCAUGAUCGAAACAAACAGCAAUGCAACAGUGAUACAGAAAGCAAAACUCCAGAUAACGGAUUACGUUCACAGCCAUCCAAUAAGUCUAAGAAUCAUCACAUCCAAAAGCCCAUAUUCAGUCACCACCCUCAGGAGGAUUCUGCAAGCGAGUGAAAACAUAAACAGCCAACAGAGACUGAACUUGGCACAAAACUGAAAUAAAAAUUGUAGAUCAUCUACCAUAUUAUCAAAACCAAUAUAUGUAGCAUUUAUUCUUCUUCAGACCAUGAUGAAUCAGCGACACCAAAAUCCCUACCUAUACAAACAUGUUAGAUAAAAGAAUUUAAUUACCGUUAGAUACCAAGCACCGCAGAGCCAUCACCCAAAGAGAGGUCCUGGACUAAGCUAAUCCAUCAAGAGCCAAGUAAAGAACAAUUGGGUACGAUAACUUUAGCUUAAUUGACUGGGCAGAUUGAAAGUGAUUCAUACAGUCCAGAAAUAAACAAAGUUGAGAAUAAGCAGAGAGAUACGCUUGAUUAUACCCCCAUCUAUUUCUCAUGAAUCAGGAAAGUCAACUCUGCCGAAAUUACUGCCAGACCAAAUAACGGACACAAUAAGAAAAUAAGAAAUAUUACAAAUAAGGUGUCAAAACCCCUAAAUUCCUCAUGCACAAACAAUACAGACAGAGCAAAUCUACCAUCCAGAGAUCUCUCAUUGAUUCGAAGGAAAAAACAGAACAAGUAGGGGAGGAGCUUUCUCCAAAAUCUUGUAGACCAGAAUAGCAGGGUAACAAACAUGACGAGAAUGCUUUGUGAUCCAAGCUAUCCUAAAAUGAAGACAACAUCGAGAUGCCAUUACCAACAAACACCAGUGAUUUUUAGGCAAAAAGGAACGAACAAGAGAACUCCUGAUCUACCACGUCAAUCCAUAGCUCUUUUUGCCACCAUAUGUAGAACUCCACCAUUCU